UACGUAGGGGGCAAGCGUUACCCGGAUUCACUGGGCGUAAAGCGCGUGUAGGCGGCGCGGUAAGUCAGGUGUGAAAUCCCACGGCUCAACCGUGGAAUUGCACCCGAAACUGCUGAGCUUGGGGCCGGUAGAGGCAGACGGAACUGCCGGUGUAGGGGUGAAAUCCAUAGAUAUCGGCAGGAACGCCGGUGGCGAAGCCGGUCUCCUGGGCGGCCCCUGACGCUGAGGCGCGAAAGCUAGGCGAGCAAUCCGG
rnacentral:rRNA from 1 species